UAGAGGGCGCUAUCGUACGCACAAGGUUCAAGCUAAAGACAAGGACAUAAGAAUUUAGGAGAUCACUCAAGGUUCUUUCGUGGAAAUGCAGUUGGAAGCCUGAGCUAAGGAAAACCACUUCGUUUACGGAGUUGAAAUAGUUGGAGCUAGCAGACCCGUGGCAGUCGUGAGACACACAACCUAGCUGUUAUUUUGGUUGUUACCCUCUGGAAAAUAGGUGUAUAAAGGACUGCAUUAGUGAGAAGUUCAUCUCCCACUCCGUUGUUUGACUAACUGGGCAUGCCUAGAUACAUGUGAAUGUAAUAAUGAGGGUAUCGUCUUAUCAAAGUGUCCCGUGCUGCUACUGUCGGCGCCGCUGCGGUUUGCUGCAGGGUCCCAGAACCGUAGUGGAGCAUGAACCCACAUUUGCUUUUGUGAGUUUACUCACAAAAUAUUUUAUCUUUCAUCAAGUUUUUGUGCCUUGUCUGUGGCCCAGUGUAUAGUUGAAGCCUUUUUAAGUGUGGUCUCAUACUAUGUAGUUCAGGCUGGCCUUGAACUCUGUCAUCUCACCUGCUCACUUGUGGACUCAGGGGCCUGUCAGCUCAGCUGGCCUUAAUGCAAUGCGGCUGAAACGGGAACUUGAGGAAAAGUCAGCUGGCUGGGGUUCCCAGGGCACAGGGGGGAAGGAAAGUUUAGCUGAAGUGGACACAGGUGAAAGGCUAAGGCAGAUUCGUGAGGGAACAUUUGCUGAAGCAGACACAGGAGAGCAGAUGUUCU
rnacentral:lncRNA from 1 species